UCUAGGAAGAACAGAUGCACCCUCCCCUCAAGCUGCCAGGGUGCCCAACAGGAGCAGAGCCAGGCCAAGGCAUUUGGCAACAAGAUGGCGACCAUCCCCAUUCCAUGUACAGAAGUUGACUGGACUGGUAACUGGAAAUGAUAAUAGAGACAGUUGGGUAACACAAUUCCCAGCCAACCUACUUUGGGAAGUGAGGAAAGUCUGUCAGAGUUGGUGGUCUGGUGGGCAACUCCACCUAUUCUGCUCAGAGUGAGGUAAAUGGAAACGGACUGGCUUCAAGUCGAUCCCGACUUAUGGCUACCCUAUGAAUAGGGAUUUCAUGAUCCUGCUGUCCACAAGGGUGGAUGUGGUUACUUGAUACAGUACAAGUUUGAAAACCUUCCCUGUGGUCAGGUUAUCCAAGCCUUUUCCUCCUUGCAAAUGGCCCAGCUCCGCGGAGAAUGACUGAUGAGUACUCCCCCAAAGGAAGAGAAAGUUGCCUUAUCUCUCGCUCGCUCUCUGUCAGGCCGGGGGUGAUUACUAACCAGGAGCGGGCACAGGACGGAGCCAACAAGUUCAGCCAGCAGAGCUCAGGAUGACUCCCAUCUGCUGCUCUUGCUCCGCAAGCAGCCGAAGGCUUCCAUGCGCUCCGGUUCCGCCUUGCCUCUUCCUUUCUCAUCGGGCGCAAAAGGUUGCGCGCGCGUGCAGUCUGCAAACCAUGCAACGCAAGUGGCGGCGGCUGCUCCGUCCCUUCCUUUUUGAAGCACGUGGCUAUGGCAAAGACAAGAAGAAAAAGAG